AACGCGAAGAACCUUACCUGGGUUUGACAUGCACAGGACGCCGGUAGAGAUAUCGGUUCCCUUGUGGCCCGUGUGCAGGUGGUGCAUGGCUGUCGUCAGCUCGUGUCGUGAGAUGUUGGGUUAAGUCCCGCGACGAGCGCAACCCUUGUCUCAUGUUGCCAGCGCGUUAUGGCGGGGACUCGUGAGAGACUGCCGGGGUCAACUCGGAGGAAGGUGGGGAUGACGUCAAGUCAUCAUGCCCCUUAUGUCCAGGGCUUCACACAUGCUACAAUGGCCGGUACAAAGGGCUGCGAAGCCGUGAGGCUUAGCGAAUCCUUGAAAGCCGGUCUCAGUUCGGAUCGGGGUCUGCAACUCGACCCCGUGAAGUCGGAGUCGCUAGUAAUCGCAGAUCAGCACGC
rnacentral:rRNA from 1 species